GUCUUGGAUGUGUUUCCUAACCAAUUCCGUGUUUGUUUAAUGAUGGUUGUCCUCCAUGAGACACUGUAGCUUAUUUCACUUCCUCAAAAUCCCCAGAAUGAAUCUAAGAUAACUCAAGAAAUCUGUAAUUAAUUUUGACGUUUUUCCGAAGAGGUUUUAGUUACACAAUUGUACAUCUAACUAAGGUGUUUGGUGCAGUAUUUCGCAACAAUGUCAGAGCUGCUAGGCAGGUCUUUCUCACUGUCUAUAGAUGGGUUAACUGACAACUUCACGAAGAUGAUGUGCACGCUUCAAUGGGGCAGAAGUCCUUGUUUUGUUGUUCUGGACGGCCAGAUAGCUACCAACAAUGACAAGAAACUGCCAUGUGGGGAAUCUUGAGCACGUGACGGUUUUGUUGCUAAACAACCAACCCAUCUAUGCUUUUGGAUAAAGAGCAAUCACCGCAGCUGUUGGGGUGAACAAUCUACACACAAUACCCCAUAAUGACAAAGUGAAAAUAGUUUUUUUCCCCAGAUCUGUGCCUCGACACAAUCCUGAGCUCAAUUUCGAGUCUCAUAGCAAAGGGUCAGAAUACUUAUGUAAAUAAGGUAUUUCUGUUUGUUAUUUGUAAUAAAUGUGUUAAACAUUUCUAAAAA